rnacentral:tRNA from 1 species
GCCUCAAUAGCUCAGUUGGGAGAGCGUUAGACUGAAGAUCUAAACACAGGUAAACCGCAAAUAGUUUAAAAAGAGUCUGAAAAGAGUUUUGGUGCG